AUUGAAACACUACUUCCCAUACAAUCAUUAAAGUUAAGCAAGGCUGACCCUGAUCAGUACCUAGCUGGGUGGCCACUUGGGAAUAACUGGUGCUGUAAG